CAGAACCAGGGCUAAGGCUUAGCAGAUGGUGACAGUAGGUAAUGAUGGAUCCUCUGCUGAACUGUCCCUCCGUACUCCAUCUGUUUGUAAGAAUUCUUUUUAAAUUGCAGAUUUAUUUGCAAUUGUGUUAAUUUCUUUUUUGAAGGCAGCACUAUCGGCUUGCGUUAAUGGGACAAAAAAAACCCUAAAAAAACACCAAAGCUACCUACAAUGAGCUCACCCUAGGCGCUUCGGGCACCUUUCCUACCAAAGCUGGAAAAGGAUACUGAAACAAAAGGCAGUCAGGUCUGGAGUCUGUCUGUCCAAAGUUAAAAAGGUGAUCAACCGUCCGCAUAGGGUUCUUUACAUGAGCAUGUCGGUGUGAGCAUGCCAGUUUACUGCGCCUCCCACGAUUACUGGAGCGGUGAUGGUGACUGGACGUGUUCGGUGACCGAAUGGAUGCUUGUAUAGUUGUUGAUUUUAUUCGUAUUUCGUAGAUUUAAUUAAUUCAUUAGCUUGUCGGUAGUUCACAGAUAGUUGUAAGUCUUUAGUUUUUUUUCUUCCUGCUUUUAUUAAUAUGCAAUCUUAAGCUUUUCUUUCUCUAGUUUGUAAGACUUCAGUUUAUCUUUUUUCAAUUAGUUUGUAAGCUUUCUUACUUUAGCUUGUAAGGUAUUAGGUUAUUUAUCUUUUUAUGUCCGUGUUCAAGCGAUUCAUCACACGUUAGGGUACUUUGCCGUGUACAAUAGUGGCAUUACUCACACGUCCAUUAGUGGCACAAAAUAUAAUUCAUAAAAACAAAAAAAUGGACUAAAGCCUUGUUUUUGUACUUUGUUUGUUUCACCAGGCUAUUUUUUAAUUGGUUCGGUGCGCAACUCGGUAAGGCUUUUGGAAAGUUUUGCUUAUGUAACUUAAAUCAAUGCAAAUACUACAAAACGUAAUUAUACUUACAAAUAAAAGCUGCAUUAAUUCUUUUAAACUAGUUUUGUGUUUUAUUAUUUAUAAAUUUCAAAGGAGUGGGUUUUGGUUGAAAUUACAACAACAUGUAUGAAUUUGAGAACGGCCCACACACUCACAUUUGUGUUUACACAUCAGAGAACUGCAGCGAGUAGCAACAUUUUCAAGCACACUUGUUCCGUGAAUCGAUAUAUGUUGAUGCUUUUGUUUGUGUGGAGGAAUGAAAAGUGAUUGCUUUCGUAUUUGCACGUACCGAAAAUUCAGUUCGUAUCACUUCAUCGGUAAUCAAACAUGAAUAUUCGAACUCCUUCGUUUCGUUCAGGAACAAGGGAUGAUAGAACAAGCUAUCUUUAAUUGAAUGAACUUUUUGUUUCCAUUCGAGUUUAUUCGUUUUUCUGUUUUCUUUGUUUGAAAUGAUUGAAAAUGUUGAAAGUGAAAAUUACUCAUCGACAGGCCAAUAUAAAGGACGGAGAUUUAUGUGGAGCAUUUUGGCCGACAUAAUUAAAUCCGACGGUCCAGGUAGUGCAUCAGCCACCAUCGGCAUGUGGACGGACAAUUAUGUUAAGCGAAAUAAAAAUCAAAAAGUCCAUAAUUGAUUCGGUGUUAGGCAUGAAAUCAAUGGAUUUCGAGUAGUUCACCAGCGUAAACUUUUUAAAGAAGCUUAUAUGCAUUGGCAAUGAAUUUGGCUGGUAUUAUGUUCGUUUUUCACCGUUGAAACCCCCGUUAUUCCGCGAUUACCUUAAGCCAUAAAACCAAAUAAAAUUAAAGUUUUUUUGUUUUCUAAA
rnacentral:sRNA from 1 species